CAGGUACCUGCAGAGGCCAGAAGAGGGCAUUGGGUCUCCUGGCACUGUAGUUCAUGGACUGACAGGUGGGAGCUCGGAAUGACUCAGAUCCUCUGCAAGAACAAUCAAGAUAGAGAACUCUCAGAUCCUUCUCCAGCACCAUGUCUGCCUCUGUGCUGCCAUGCUUCCAACCACAAUAACAGACCAAACCUCUGAAACUGUUCUGCUCCCUGUCAGCAGCAGCUUUCCUCAGCGGCUAUCCCACGACUCUGGCAUCUCCAACAUCUUCAGGUCUCCAAGGCAAUCCAGGUUUUCCCUUCAUAGCUUCCCACAAUGAACCCUCUAGGACUCCACACGGGGACACUCCUGAUACAUGCCUGUCUCAGCAGCUUUCCUUAGGAGCAGAGGGAGUUUCCAUAACCCCUUUCUUCCAUCCUUGACUCUAAACCCAGAACAACAGGGCUGAAGCUGCCACAUUCUGCUUCUUGCUGGAACACUGCUCCCUCAUUCAGUUACAUCUUCACCAGCUUUUGGUUUCCCAUGCUUUCCUUCACUGCCAAAAAAAGCACGGUCAGGCCUGUCCUAGCAAUAUACCACUCCUGGUACCAACUUCUGUCUUACAGUUUCUAUCGCUGUGAAGAGACCAUGACCAUGGCAACUCCUUUAAAGGAAAACAUUUAACUGGGGCCAGUUUACAGUUUCAAAGGUGUAGUCCAUUAUGGUCAUGGUGUGAAACAUGGCAAUGUAUGGGCAGACAUGGCGCUGGAGAAGUUGCCAAGAGUUCUAUGUCUUGAUUCACAUGCAGCAGGGAGAGACUGUGAGCCACACUGGGCUCAGCUUGAACACAUUGUCUGGUGUCAGACAUCCCUCCAUCCCUACCUGAUACAGGGUAUGCUUGGCAACUCCCCUAUCCUGAGCUUCCCUUCCUCCUUUACUAGAUAAUCCAGACAUUAUGGUUUCCUCCCACUCUCCCUUCUCUCUAUCACUCUAUGCCUUCAGUGUUUCCUCUUUCCUCUCUUCUGUGUGUACCAUACCUCUCCCUCCCCCUUCCCUUACAUGAGGGCUUCCAAUAAACCUGCAUGUAUAUAACUUUGUCUUGCCAUUAGCGCGUUUCAAUCAUGUAUGAGACCUCCAAGUCCACCCCCACACAGUGACACACUUGCUUCCACAACUACUCCCAC